AUGAAGUGGAUUCAUCUUCUUGAAAUUAAGAGGGCAACUGGAUUUUUCUUCCUCGGCCUUGCCCAUUGCCCAGUGGUGCCAGUGCCAGUAAGCACUCAGUCUCCGCUGAUGACAUGUUGCUCUCCUACACCCCAGGCGUGCUCAUGGAGGAAAACACUGGAGACAAACUCCUAUCCAACACUCUUAUCACUUUGCAAGGCUGCAGUACAGGUGCAGAAGGCCUUUGCCCAGAUCCUUCUCCCCUUCCUUCAGCGCAACAGUGUCGACACCAUCAACAGGGACAGCAUGGAGAGGGCAAAGAAUUUGUUACUGGUUUGCAUUAGCGACCAAUGCACACACAGCUCAGCCUUCAUCAAGGGUGCUGAUGCAGCGGUGUUGUUGAAGGGCAUGGAAGAGGGAAGCAGACUCUUCUUGCAAAGAGACAACGGCUUCAGAAAGGACCAGCAGAUGGUGCAAGUGAUCGAGGGGUGCCACCAUGUCCCUAGUGGUAUGAUGCUCCCUUACCUCUCACGCAUGCUCAUGGAGGACGACAUUGAUGGUAGGCUCUCUGAUCACCCUGCACUGCUCCAGGUGCAGCAGCACUUUGCUCAAAUCAUUUCCUCCCAUUCCUUUGGUGUCAACAGUGGUGACAGAGAGGGGGCCAAGGAUUUGUUGCAAGUUGGCGAUAGUGAUGAAUCCUCAUCCAAGGGUGCAGAUCGAUGCCUUGGGGGUGUUGUUCAAGGGCAUGGAACAAGCCAACAUGCAUGGUCUUGCCCAGAUAUAACAUCUUCAGAAGGGAUGAGCUGGUGA
rnacentral:rRNA from 1 species